GUUGAACGGAGAAUGGGUAGCAAAACAUGUCACAGGGGAAAAGAAAGAAAACAACAUUUAUGUUGUGGAGUAUGAGGGUGAAAAUAAACUUGAAGUUAUUUAUGCAUCUGACACUGUUCUGGUAAUAAGUGUUGUCAACAAGGAUAAGAAUAGAAGAUGUGGGGAGAUACAGUUGGCUGGAAUAUUUGAAAUUUCUCUGAGUUGUAAGGGGCAAAAUUCUGCUUUGUGUAUGGUGUUUUUCAGUUAAAGUAAAUGAUAUUGAAGAGAAAGCCUUGGAGAUAUUCAAGGAGCUGUUGAAACUGAAAGGGAUUGAAGAAAAACAUAUUGUGAAUUUCUUCAAAAGUGAUGACUGUCCUCCCUGCACAAAACUAUGGAGUUCAAUAAAAGCUCAGUAAACAGUCACUGAGACCAGACACAUCUUCUUAUGCAUGGAUUCAAGAUCCACCAAAUGAAGAUGACUUUCCUAAUUAACAUGGUCCUUCUCUCCUCACACUCCCUUUCCCAUCUCAUCUCUCCUGGUCACUAAUCAUGUCUGGUGGUAUUUGAUUUCUGAGGGUUUAA